GAUGAACGCUAGCUACAGGCUUAACACAUGCAAGUCGAGGGGCAGCAUGGUCUUAGCUUGCUAAGGCCGAUGGCGACCGGCGCACGGGUGAGUAACGCGUAUCCAACCUGCCUUACACUCUUGGACAGCCUUCUGAAAGGGAGAUUAAUACAAGAUGUUAUCAUGAGUAAGCAUUUUCGCAUGAUUAAAGGUUUACCGGUGUAAGAUGGGGAUGCGUUCCAUUAGAUAGUAGGCGGGGUAACGGCCCACCUAGUCUUCGAUGGAUAGGGGUUCUGAGAGGAAGGUCCCCCACAUUGGAACUGAGACACGGUCCAAACUCCUACGGGAGGCAGCAGUGAGGAAUAUUGGUCAAUGGACGAGAGUCUGAACCAGCCAAGUAGCGUGAAGGAUGAAGGUUCUAUGGAUUGUAAACUUCUUUUAUACGGGAAUAAACGGAUCCACGCGUGGAUUUUUGCAUGUACCGUAUGAAUAAGGAUCGGCUAACUCCGUGCCAGCAGCCGCGGUAAUACGGAGGAUGCGAGCGUUAUCCGGAUUUAUUGGGUUUAAAGGGUGCGUAGGCGGUUGAUUAAGUUAGUGGUAAAAUGUCAUGGCUAAACCUUGGCCAGCCAUUAAUACUGGUCAGCUUGAGUACAGACGAGGGAGGCGGAACAAGUGAAGUAGCGGUGAAAUGCAUAGAUAUCACUUGGAACCCCGAUAGCGAAGGCAGCUUCCCAGGCUCGAUCUGACGCUGAUGCGCGAGAGCGUGGGUAGCGAACAGG
rnacentral:rRNA from 1 species